AUAAAACACAAAAAAAA
rnacentral:sRNA from 1 species